UAGAGGGGAAGGGGGAGGUGGAGAGGUGGCUGACGGGGCGGGAGAGCCCCUCGGGUGUCAGAGAAAGCCUCAGGUCAGGAGCCCCGAGGGGGUCUCAGCUGGAAGGAGCAGGAGAGGGCACGUCUGCAGCGGCGUAGGUUUAUUUUGGGGGUGGUACAGUGUGUGCCUGCGUGCAGGUUUGGUGUGUCUCUGAUUUUCAAAGAGAAAAGCCCAUGGCAUGAGAGGCCCCCCUCUCCCACCCCUCCACCUUGUUAUUUUUUGCAGGACACUCGAGCGAAACGCUGUGGCCUUGCAAAAUGUUGAGCCUUCCUCCGCAGUCCGAAGGAGCAGGGCCGCAGGUGUUAAGAGACUCUAGCUGCGAGGCUCCUGGCUCUCCAAAGACAUGUCAGGCCUUGCUCAGAAAAAUGUUUGUUGAUGUUAGCUGACAGUUAUCGAUGUAGCUGCAGAUCAAAAGUGUCAGGAAAGCAAAUCCUGGAAAAGUUAACUUCAUCUCCUGCUUUACUUGGCUGUGGGAGUUCAGACUUCUGGAAAUAAGUUCCUGCUCAGGUUUUUUCUAGUCUAAAUUCCUGGUGUUUCAGAUGUUCAUUCUUGGGUGUUCUCUGAAUUUUGUAUGUUACUGUAGAUUUAAUCUUCUCAACCAAAUACCUCAGUUUAAAGGUACUCUGAUAUUGAAAUAAGGGAAGAAGACUAGAUUAGGCAUGCUACCUUGUUGCCUCCAAAUACAGAGGCCAUGACUGAUAAAUAUUUGAGUUCCUUUAGGUAGUGCUGACUGCAGCACUAAUUAAACGCAGAGCUUAUGCGAUAUAUUGGUGUAUUAAAUUGGAUUAGCAGAUUUGCUGUAUGGUAAUGUGCUGUUACUAUUUUGGGGGAUGGGUAGGAAGGAAAACUAACAUCAAGGUGCAUCUUAAUCCUCAGGCUUUAAAGAGGGUGGAAUAAAUUACUGUUAAACCUGUUGUAGUGUUUCAUGUGAAAAAUGUUUUCCUCAAUUACCUGAACAUAUAUGUGCGAUGAGCCUAAAAUAGAUAAUAGUACACAAGAACCAAUGAAUUGUAGAAAUCACACAGCAUAUGUUCAAUGUCUGCCAGCACCAAAUAUUACUUGCAGAGAUCACCUUGGCGUAGAAAAAGUCUUUACAGGACAUGAAGUUGGAUUUUACAAGCCUAUUGCAUGUCGCAAUGUAAAUGGAUACUCCUACAAAGUGGCAGUGGCUUUGUCCUUAUUUCUCGGAUGGUUGGGAGCAGAUAGAUUUUAUCUAGGCUAUCCUGCAUUAGGUUUGUUAAAGUUCUGCACUGUAGGAUUUUGUGGAAUUGGUAGCCUAAUUGAUUUCAUACUUAUUUCAAUGCAGAUCGUCGGACCUUCCGAUGGCUCUAGUUACAUUAUAGAUUACUAUGGAGCAAGGCUUACACGGCUCACAAUUACCAAUGCAACAUUCAGGAAAAUGCAGACCUAUCCUUAACCCUGGCAAGUCUUCUUCAAAGUUCCUUGGAUUUACUGUGGGGAAAACAUAGCAAGAACAUGUAAGAGGAGAUCACUGCCUACCAAGAACUGACUGAGCGUUCACCUUGAGUCUGAUGAGACUGCCCACCAUAUGGAUUGUGUUGGCAGAGGCAGAAGCCUGGGGAAUGCAGAGCCAGGUCCAGCUGCCAUUUUGAUUUCUGUCCACCUUGGUGGCUGUCUCUGGACUUUUGCGGCGUUCAUCCUGCCAUACGCUAUUGCCGAGUCAUUAGUUAUGUAUGACACCUAAUGAAGCCCCAAACCAUGAUGUUCUUGGUGACAGUUCAGGAUGCCCGGACCCCCCGUGAUUCUGGCCGAGAAGCAGCCCUCCUUGAACACUUCCUGGCCCCAGCUGCAGCGCAGAUCGGGCUGGAAGCUGCAUCUGCGCCCGUUGGCGAGGUCCCAGCGAAGGGCAGUCACAGCCCUGCCGCACCGAUGCCAAUCCCCACCAGUGGGAACCCCCUGGAGAUGCAGGGAACAGGGGGCAGCGGGAGGGAGCCUUCAUGGAGCUCCUGGAGGCAUAGAUGAAGUGAUGAUGCUUCCCAUCUUGUCUGCAGGAGCAGCAGAGUGUCAGAGCAUAUUAUCGGUCUGCUACAUCCCGCUGUCUGAAGCAACACGCUGGGCGGCUGCUCCUCCUGCUGCCCACAGAGCCGGUAGCACCUGAAACGCUGCUGAGCCUCCCCUGGAUCCCUCUCCCCCUCUCCCCAAAGGUCAUUGAAACAAGCACUGCCGGUGGGAGCUGAGAUCAAUGGCAUGGCUUGACUUUAGGCUCUACUGCCUUGGGCCAGCUCAGCACUCUUGCCGACGAGCUAAACCCUCAUCUAAUCAUGUUGCUAUUGCUCCCAUUGCUUUUAAGAGAGCUUGUACAAAACUCUCUAUUUCUGCAGUUUGCACACCCAUAAAAACCAUCCAGAAUACAGUGAGGUGAGGAGGAAACACCAUGAAUUUUCAUCAUACUGGUAUUUCUGGCACAAUUUACAUCGUGACUAUGUUCUUGAUGAGGAGGAGCAAUAAAUACCCUCUGCACAGCUCAUGUUGCGAUGGAUGGUAGAGGAAACAGCGACCCGAAGGGUGUCACAUUCUGGAAACCUGACCUGGAAACAAGGAUCCACAAUUAAUGAGAUGGGUGAACAAAGAUGAGACUAUCCUUAAAAGCUGCUGUGCCGGUAGCAGCCAACAAAGCCAGGUGUACAUAGUGGAUGGAAGAUAGCAAUCCAUUUUGUGCACAUAGUGAGGAAGAUGAAGGCCAACUGCCUCCAGCACCCAAACCCUCUGGUUAUCGCAACCAGCUCUUUUCCCAGAGUGGUGUUUGCUUGAAGAAACUGGUUUUGAAGGGGUGCGUGUGGGGGUGACUCAGACUGCUGCUCUUGCAAGCUCUGUUCAUACUCUCACUUCCACGCAGAGGGGAUGCCAGCCUGCCUUCAAUCCCGCCUGGGGUUUGGAGCCAGAUGGCCAAAACAACCUCUUCCAGGUUCCUCAUGCCUCACAGUCCUCUUCCAGCACAGCGAUGUGGCAGCCUUUAAAGUUGCUUUCCAGUGAAUCGCCCAAGAAGAAAUCUCCCAAAAUCAUGAACCAGCUGCGCCUCCACUGGUCUGUCUCAUGACGAGGACUUAGAAAAAGAAUGAAAUAUCUGAGAUGGGCGUAACAGCACGGUGUUGAACUGCUGACCUCAAGAGUUCAAAGAUAUUCCUGGCUGCAUUAUAUAGUGUUUCGCAUGUCCAGAUGAAUCCCUCACCCUUCACUGUAGCUGAACCAUGGGAGUUUGGCUGGAGCAGCAUCCUGUGGCAGUGGGGAGGGACCCUUGGCUGGA